UUUUAGCUCAACUGUCAGCACGCUCGCCUCCCAAUCCGAGGUGCUGCAGUUCGCGAGUUCGAGUCCGGGCGUGUGUAGGGCUGAAUUGCGCAGGUUCAACACAACGCAGGUUACAUUGGUCUACAUAUACACUGGA